rnacentral:rRNA from 1 species
AGAACGAACGCUGGCGGCAUGCCUAAUACAUGCAAGUCGAACGAACUCUUCGGAGUUAGUGGCGCACGGGUGCGUAACGCGUGGGAAUCUGCCCCUUGGUUCGGAAUAACAGUUGGAAACGACUGCUAAUACCGGAUGAUGACGAAAGUCCAAAGAUUUAUCGCCAAGGGAUGAGCCCGCGUAGGAUUAGCUAGUUGGUGAGGUAAAGGCUCACCAAGGCAACGAUCCUUAGCUGGUCUGAGAGGAUGAUCAGCCACACUGGGACUGGAGACACGGCCCAGACUCCGUACGGGAGCAGCAGUAGGGAAUAUGGACAAGUGGGACGAAAGCCUGGAUCCAGCAAUCGCCGCGUGAAGUGAGUGGAAGGCCGUUAGGUUAGUAAACGUCUUACGUUUUAACCCGAG